AAAAAUUUAGUUAAAAAAUAACAUUAGUUUGUCAAACUAAAAUUAUUAAAUAGUUAAUAGUUUUUA
rnacentral:tRNA from 1 species